rnacentral:rRNA from 1 species
AAGAUUAAGCCAUGCAUGUCUAAGUAUAAGCAAUUAUACCGCGAAACUGCGAAUGGCUCAUUAUAUAAGUUAUCGUUUAUUUGAUAGUACCUUACUACUUGGAUAACCGUGGUAAUUCUAGAGCUAAUACAUGCUAAAAAUCCCGACUUCGGAAGGGAUGUAUUUAUUAGAUUAAAAACCAAUGCCCUUCGGGGCUCACUGGUGAUUCAUGAUAACUCCUCGAAUCGCAUGGCCUUGUGCCGGCGAUGGUUCAUUCAAAUUUCUUCCCUAUCAACUUUCGAUGUUUGGGUAUUGGCCAAACAUGGUUGCAACGGGUAACGGAGGGUUAGGGCUCGACCCCGGAGAAGGAGCCUGAGAAACGGCUACUACAUCCAAGGAAGGCAGCAGGCGCGCAAAUUACCCAAUCCCGACACGGGGAGGUAGUGACAAUAAAUACUGAUACAGGGCUCUUUUGGGUCUUGUAAUUGGAAUGAGUACAAUUUAAAUCCCUUAACGAGGAACAAUUGGAGGGCAAGUCUGGUGCCAGCAGCCGCGGUAAUUCCAGCUCCAAUAGCGUAUAUUAAAGUUGUUGUGGUUAAAAAGCUCGUAGUUGAACCUUGGGCCUGGCUGGCCGGUCCGCCUCACCGCGUGUACUGGUCCGGCCGGGCCUUUCCCUCUGUGGAACCCCAUGCCCUUCACUGGGUGUGGCGGGGAAACAGGACUUUUACUGUGAAAAAAUUAGAGUGCUCCAGGCAGGCCUAUGCUCGAAUACAUUAGCAUGGAAUAAUAGAAUAGGACGUGUGGUUCUAUUUUGUUGGUUUCUAGGACCGCCGUAA